GGGCGUUAAGUUGCAGGGUAUAGACCCGAAACCCGGUGAUCUAGCCAUGGGCAGGUUGAAGGUUGGGUAACACUAACUGGAGGACCGAACCGACUAAUGUUGAAAAAUUAGCGGAUGACCUGUGGCUGGGGGUGAAAGGCCAAUCAAACCGGGAGAUAGCUGGUUCUCCCCGAAAGCUAUUUAGGUAGCGCCUCGUGAAUUCAUCUCCGGGGGUAGAGCACUGUUUCGGCUAGGGGGCCAUCCCGGCUUACCAACCCGAUGCAAACUGCGAAUACCGGAGAAUGUUAUCACGGGAGACACACGGCGGGUGCUAACGUCCGUCGUGAAGAGGGAAACAACCCAGACCGCCAGCUAAGGUCCCAAAGUCAUGGUUAAGUGGGAAACGAUGUGGGAAGGCCCAGACAGCCAGGAUGUUGGCUUAGAAGCAGCCAUCAUUUAAAGAAAGCGUAAUAGCUCACUGGUCGAGUCGGCCUGCGCGGAAGAUGUAACGGGGCUAAACCAUGCACCGAAGCUGCGGCAGCGAACGUAUCACCCAAGACAACUUUACGGAGUUGACGAUUGACGGAGCGAAGCGACGUCAAAGCGUUCAUUAAAGUCGAGUUGGCUUAGGGAUACGUUCGUUGGGUAGGGGAGCGUUCUGUAAGCCUGUGAAGGUGUGUCGUGAGGCAUGCUGGAGGUAUCAGAAGUGCGAAUGCUGACAUAAGUAACGAUAAAGCGGGUGAAAAGCCCGCUCGCCGGAAGACCAAGGGUUCCUGUCCAACGUUAAUCGGGGCAGGGUGAGUCGACCCCUAAGGCGAGGCCGAAAGGCGUAGUCGAUGGGAAACGGGUUAAUAUUCCCGUACUUGGUGUUACUGCGAAGGGGGGACGGAGAAGGCUAUGUUGGCCGGGCGACGGUUGUCCCGGUUUAAGCGUGUAGGUGUGUGUUCCAGGUAAAUCCGGUUCACUUUAACACUGAGGCGUGACGACGAGGCACUACGGUGCUGAAGCAACAAAUGCCCUGCUUCCAGGAAAAGCCUCUAAGCAUCAGGUAACAUCAAAUCGUACCCCAAACCGACACAGGUGGUCAGGUAGAGAAUACCAAGGCGCUUGAGAGAACUCGGGUGAAGGAACUAGGCAAAAUGGUGCCGUAACUUCGGGAGAAGGCACGCUGACACGUAGGUGAAGUGAUUUACUCAUGGAGCUGAAGUCAGUCGAAGAUACCAGCUGGCUGCAACUGUUUAUUAAAAACACAGCACUGUGCAAACACGAAAGUGGACGUAUACGGUGUGACGCCUGCCCGGUGCCGGAAGGUUAAUUGAUGGGGUCAGCGUAAGCGAAGCUCCUGAUCGAAGCCCCGGUAAACGGCGGCCGUAACUAUAACGGUCCUAAGGUAGCGAAAUUCCUUGUCGGGUAAGUUCCGACCUGCACGAAUGGCGUAAUGAUGGCCAGGCUGUCUCC
rnacentral:rRNA from 1 species